rnacentral:rRNA from 1 species
UACGGGGGGGGGCAAGCGUUGUUCGGAAUUACUGGGCGUAAAGGGCUCGUAGGUGGCCAACUAAGUCAGACGUGAAAUCCCUCAGCUUAACUGGGGAACUGCGUCUGAUACUGGAUGGCUUGAGAUUGGGAGAGGGAUGCGGAAUUCCAGGUGUAGCGGUGAAAUGCGUAGAUAUCUGGAGGAACAUCGGUGGCGAAGGCGGCAUCCUGGACCAACACUGACACUGAGGAGCGAAAGCCAGGGGAGCAAACGGG